UCACCAGCAUUAUUUUUUUUUAUUUCUGUUUUUAUCUGGAAAAACUAUAUUAGACAGAACGAGAGGGGAUUCUACAGACACGCACUAGGCCAGACCCAGAGAACUCCACCUCCUUUUCCUCCCGUUGCUCCUGUCUCUUUCUACCUCCUCGUUGCAGCAUCUAGCUAUGCACUUAGCCUCCCAUCCUACCACCAUAUGAAUAACAGCUACAGCCUCGGCGACAACGCAGCCAGCGCCGUAAGUGUCUCUGUGGCUUGCUGUGGCUGGGGAUGGGGGACAGAGUAGAGUCCCAGAAACUCAGGGAACAUGCAGCCUGCAGGUCUCACAGGGACACUGUGGUCAGUUUAUGCCUGAGAGUGGCUUGGUCCAGGUGGAGGAGGGAUCUCAACAUCUCCAUCCACCCAGUGAGGCCCGUGGGCACAGAAACUCCCUGCCCAGAUGGCAACCCCACUCACAGAGGUCCAGGCUCAGCGGUGACACAGUUUCAAUCAGGUGAACCAGAAUGGAGCUUCUGUGGUUAUUCAUCCCCCACACAUUGGAAAAGCUGUCCUGCACACCUUUGACUGUGGCUGCAGCUGCGACUCCCCCCCUUUCCCCCUUC